AAUGGACGCUGGCGGCAGGCCUAACACAUGCAAGUCGAACGGAUCCUUCGGGAUUAGUGGCGGACGGGUGGGUAACGCGUGGGAACAUACCCUUUGGUACGGAAUAGCCUCGGGAAACUGGGAGUAAUACCGUAUGUGGUCGAGAGACGAAAGAUUUAUCGCCAAAGGAUUGGCCCGCGUUGGAUUAGGUAGUUGGUGGGGUAAUGGCCUACCAAGCCGACGAUCCAUAGCUGGUUUGAGAGGAUGAUCAGCCACACUGGGACUGAGACACGGCCCAGACUCCUACGGGAGGCAGCAGUGGGGAAUCUUAGACAAUGGGGGAAACCCUGAUAUAGCCAUGCCGCGUGAUCGAUGAAGGCCUUAGGGUUGUAAAGAUCUUUCAGGUGGGAAGAUAAUGACUGUACCACCAGAAGAAGCCCCGGCUAACUCCGUGCCAGCCGCCGCCGUAACAC
rnacentral:rRNA from 1 species